UACGUAGGGUGCGAGCGUUAAUCGGAAUUACUGGGCGUAAAGCGUGCGCAGGCGGUUUUGUAAGCCAGAUGUGAAAUCCCCGGGCUUAACCUGGGAAUGGCAUUUGGGACUGCAAGGCUGGAGUGUGGCAGAGGAGACUGGAAUUCCUGGUGUAGCGGUGAAAUGCAUAGAUAUCUUCAAGAACACCGAUUGCGAAGGCAGCUUACUAAGCUUUAACUGACACUGAGGCACGAAAGCGUGGGGAUCAAACAGG
rnacentral:rRNA from 1 species